rnacentral:rRNA from 1 species
AACGCGAAGAACCUUACCAGGUCUUGACAUCCUCUGACACUCCUAGAGAUAGGACGUUCCCUUCGGGGACAGAGUGACAGGUGGUGCAUGGUUGUCGUCAGCUCGUGUCGUGAGAUGUUGGGUUAAGUCCCGCAACGAGCGCAACCCUUGAUCUUAGUUGCCAGCAUUUAGUUGGGCACUCUAAGGUGACUGCCGGUGACAAACCGGAGGAAGGUGGGGAUGACGUCAAAUCAUCAUGCCCCUUAUGACCUGGGCUACACACGUGCUACAAUGGAUGGUACAAAGGGCAGCGAAGCCGUAAGGUGGAGCCAAUCCCAUAAAACCAUUCUCAGUUCGGAUUGUAGGCUGCAACUCGCCUACAUGAAGCUGGAAUCGCUAGUAAUCGCGGAUCAGCAUGCCGCGGUGAAUACGUUCCCGGGUCUUGUACACACCG